CACCCAUUCCUGCUUGUUCCUCUCCCAUACUAGGAAAUCACUGCCUCUAUGAUCUUGCCGAAUCUGGACAUUUCACACACAUGAAGUCAACAGUGUGCAACCUUUGCAUCUGAUGUUUCUCACAAGCGUGAAGGCAUGUUUUCAGUGCAAUGCUCAACAGAAGUUCAAGAAAAGGUAUCUUACCCAGCAUGGUGGUGUGUCCCUAUAAUCCCAGCACUUGGGAAGCUGAGUCAGGAGGAUCACUGCCAGUUCAAGGCCAGUCUGGACUACCUAGCGGCUUUGAGCAACAGCAAAAAAAGGCCUUAUGUUGAAGAGACUGAUGUUUGGCUUUGUAUCAGAUGGAAACCACUUUAGAAAACUGUUACGUCUCCUUAACAGAUUCUGGUAAUCCAACCUGGUUGGAGAAGGAAUGAUUUUAUCCAAGAAAACUCGCAGGGGUGAAAAAUACUAAAGGAAAGGAAUCUUCUGUGUACAUGGAAAUAAGGUCCCAAAACCACUGAGCUACAUUCGCUGUUGCUUUUCUCUCUUUCUCUGUCCUCUUGUGACUGGGUCUUAAAUGCAAGUGAAUUUGUGAGAAGGACCUAACAAUUAAAAGUAAACAAAAACCUUA